rnacentral:lncRNA from 1 species
UGACACCUAGCAGUAUGUAGUGGCAACUCAGUAGAACUAAAAUAAACCUCUAGGUGUAGUUAAGUAUGAUUUAGUCUCUCUAUCGUGAGUCCCGACUAGAUGGCAAGUCAUGGAUAAAUCGUCAAACCUCAACAUCGGUCAUAUGAUAGAUUGAUUAGCUCAAGUCCAGUUGUGACUUCUAUGAAAACUCUUUUUCAUCAAUCAUACUAUUGUGGCCAUAGACUCUUGGACUUACCCUCUCGAAUCUCAUAGG